rnacentral:rRNA from 1 species
UACGUAGGGGGCAAGCGUUGUCCGGAAUCACUGGGCGUAAAGCGCACGUAGGCGGAUUUGUAAGUCAGGGGUGAAAUCCCGGGGCUCAACCUCGGAACUGCCUUUGAUACUGCGAAUCUUGAGUCCGAUAGAGGUGGGUGGAAUUCCUAGUGUAGAGGUGAAAUUCGUAGAUAUUAGGAAGAACACCGGUGGCGAAGGCGGCCCACUGGAUCGGUACUGACGCUGAGGUGCGAAAGCGUGGGGAGCAAACAGG